rnacentral:lncRNA from 1 species
UUCCAACCUGACAUAUAGUGCUACACGGUGCUACAGUUCACACAUUUAUUCAAUUGAAAUACCUCAAAAGAAUGAAAAUGUCUUCUAUAUAUUCCAAAACAAUAUUACCUUACCCAGGCUCUUUAUAACCAUUACAUCAAUUCUUUGUCAUAAUAUCAAAUAAUAACAACAUUCAUUCUAUACUAUUACAAAGGCAAUCUAUUGGUUCGUCUUAGCCUUUCAUUUAUCUUUACCAGAUC